AUUGAAGUGUGUAUAGUUAUAUAAAGAGCAAGAGUUUAUUUUCAAUCUUUAAGAUUUUUUUUUUUUAAAGAUUUAAUAUCCUGGCUCUGCAGUUGCACUAGCUGUUUUUGUGCUGGUCGUCACGUGUGUGUGUGUGUGUGUGUGUGUGUGUGUGUGUGUGUGUGUUUGUGUGAGCUAAUGGUCCUGGGACUUUGGUUGUUAUGGUGUGAAUCUCCACCCUGGAAAGAGACGAUCCACAAACAAAGUGAUGCUCAGCGCAGCUGAAAGACAAAAAUCACCGGAGGAGAAAACUUGCUAGAAAUAGAGAUAUCAGUAUGCUGAAGUGGACGCUGUUGGUGGUGUGUGUGAGUGUGUGUUUGGGUCAGAAUCCGAUCAACACUGACCCAGCAGAAGAAACAGAACUGACCUCUGAUCAGCACCACCACAUCACUCUCAAACAAACUUAUGUUCAUAUGAUGAAGAACAAUAAUAAGCUGGGUGUGUUCAUCGCUGCCGCUAUAGGAACCCUGACGCUGAUGGCGGUGGUUUACUGCAUCUACAACCAGUUUUACAGCAAAAACAUUUACUCACACUCUCAGCUGCAUGAAUCAGAUAUCGCUCUGGAUCUGAGCAGCUCGUCCUCGUCGGUGUUUUCUGGGUAUGUGAUGGAGGGAUGGAUGCAGCAGAGGAUGGAGAAAGGAGGAGGGAGUUACGGCUCUCUCUCUGACACUCCUUCGAUAAUCACGCUCCCUCCUCCUCUUUCACCUCCUCAGCGCGCGUCUCCCUUUCACUCGCUCUCUCGGUCCAGACCGCCGCCUCUGAGGACUAUUUCAGCUCAGGAUCUGGAGAAGAGCUUCCUCUGAGACUGUCUGCAGACCCGCUGUGUGUGUGUGUGUGUGUGUGUGUGUGGGUUUAGUUUACAGCUGUAUGCUGAAGUGACGGCUUUCUAACCUCUGCUGCAAACACUCAUACCUGACCUUUAACCUUUCCAGAUUUGAAUGCAGGGCUGCAGUUAAUGUGCUUGAUGUAACAAUCUUUAAAUGUUUAAUCAUUAGAAUGUUCUGUUCUCUUGUUCACUUCUGUUCUCUCUAGUGUGUUCUAUUAAUUUCUUUUAGUGCUGUUGUUUUCCGUUAGUAAUUUUCUAUUCAUUUUCUUUGCUAUUAUUAUGCGAAAUGUAACAUUGCUUACAUAUUUUGCUAUCAUAAUGUUCUCUGUUUUAUUUUGUUUACUCUAGUCUAUUCUGUUUAAAAAAUGUUCCUCCUUGUUCUAUUCUAUUCUAUUCUAUUUUCCCCUUUGC
ensembl:lncRNA